ensembl:snRNA U6 U6 spliceosomal RNA
AUGCUCAUUCCAGAAGCAUAAAUAGUAAAUGUGGAAUUAUACAGAGAAAAUUAGCAUGGCCCAUGCAUUAAGAUGGCACACAAAUUCACACAGUGUUUUAUAGUUCU